CAAGAAUUCUUUGCAGGGUUCUUGAAGCAUGCCCAGUAAACAAGUGUCACCUUAGUCUGCUGGCUGUGGACAGCUGACACUUUCCAACAUAUCCAGCAAAAUAAGCAGUGAGUUUUCCUGCAUUGAGAAUCACUUCC